rnacentral:rRNA from 1 species
CACGUAGGGGGCAAGCGUUGUCCGGAUUUAUUGGGCGUAAAGAGCUCGUAGGCGGUUCGGUAAGUCAGGUGUGAAACCUCCAGGCUCAACCUGGAGACGCCACCUGAUACUGCUGUGACUCGAGUCCGGUAGGGGAGCGUGGAAUUCCUGGUGUAGCGGUGAAAUGCGCAGAUAUCGGGAGGAACACCAGUAGCGAAGGCGGCACUCUGGGCCGGAACUGACGCUGACGGAGCGAAAGCGUGGGAGCGAACGAG